rnacentral:rRNA from 1 species
UACGGAGGGUGCGAGCGUUGUCCGGAAUCACUGGGCGUAAAGGGCGCGUAGGCGGUCCGGUAAGCGCGUGGUGAAAGCUCGGCGCUCAACGCCGAGUCGGCCGUCGAUACUGUUGGGCUUGAGCACUGUAGAGGCUAAUGGAAUUCCCGGUGUAGCGGUGAAAUGCGCAGAUAUCGGGAAGAACACCCGUGGCGAAGGCGGCUCUCUGGGACGGUACUGACGCUGAGACGCGAAAAGCGUGGGGAGCGAACAGG